UAAAUAUGCAUUGAUCUGGCAAACUUCAUUAUUAUUUAUCUAAAUGUUCUCUUGUCUCCCUAACACUUAAUAACAAUAAUGAAGAAUAAUUCUAAGUUCCAACGCUGCAAAAAUAUCCAGUAACCAAACCAAGAUUGGGGUCCCACUGUGCUCGGCGCCCUACAAACACAAUGGGAGAUUGGCUGUGACCCCAAAGCAGGGCUGGCUCAGCUUUUCUGCCGCCCCAAGCAGCAAAAAAAAUAAAUAAAGAAAGAAGACGAGCGGCGGGACUUCGGCAGCAGGUCCUCCCUCUCUUCCUCUUCGGUGGCAAUUCAGCGGCAGCUCAAAGAGGAAGAGAGGGAAUGAGGGACCCGCUGCCGAAUUGCCGCAGAAGACCCAGGUGUGCUGCUCUGAUACCGGAUGGAGUGCCACUCCUUUGAAUUGGCCGCCCCAAGCACCUGCUUCCUACGCUGGUGCCCGGAGCCGGCCCUGCCCCAAAGAACUUGCAAUCUAUAUGAAACAGACAAAGGGCCGUGGAAAGCAGGAGAUAACUGUAGUGCAAUGGACGCUAGCCAAACAAUACACCUCCUGAUCUGUCCAGGGCCAGUGUGGAGUCCUUUGACCAGCUUGGCAGCUGCCAUGGUGAUGAGAACACAUAGGGAGCCAUUUGCACCACUUUACAAGCUUAUUGCAACUGAGAAUCAAGUUCUGUGCAGCUCAGAGCACUUUGGUAAUGUCUGGCGGUCAGCUGCAGCACACACCAAGAGUUCAGUUUCUCCCGGAAGCAUUCCCCUUUCAAAGAGGAGCUGAAGAGUGGAAGAAUUUCAUGAAUGUCUUGAUUCCUUUGUUUUAUCACUGGUAGCUGUGGGGAUUCCUACAUCAAGGUACAUCUGUGUUUUGCAAGCAGAAGUACCAUCUGGAGAAAUGUUUCUAAUCUGUAUCAAGAGUUAUUAUUACGUCUGAUAAUGUUCUCUUUGCUUGAAGGUGAUGAUGAAAGAACUUAAAGACUGC